AUUGAACGCUGGCGGCAGGCUUAACACAUGCAAGUCGAGCGAGCGGCGGACGGGUGAGUAAUGUCUGGGAAACUGCCUGAUGGAGGGGGAUAACUACUGGAAACGGUAGCUAAUACCGCAUACCAUCAGAUGUGCCCAGAUGGGGUUAGCUAGUAGGUGGGGUAAGGGCUCACCUAGGCGACGAUCCCUAGCUGGUCUGAGAGGAUGACCGGCAACACUGGAACUGGGACACGGUCCGGACUCCAACGGAGGGAAGCAGUGGGGAAUAUUGCACAAUGGGCGAAAGCCUGAUGCGGCCAUGCCGCGUGUGUGACGAAGGCCUUGGGGUUGUAAAGCACUUUCAGCGAGGAGGCGUUACUCGCAGAGGAAGCACCGGCUAACUCCGUGCCAGCAGCCGCGGUAAUAC
rnacentral:rRNA from 1 species